GUUCGAAAUUCGGAGUACUAAAUUCUAACUCAUGUUAUCUAUUAUAUUCAGAUGCUUUGACUAAUGUUGUGGCUAAACUCAAAAUUGAGGAAAAUAACAAGGAGGAAGAUGAGCACUAUGAGGAGGACAGGGACAACGAGGAAG